CACUAUGCCUAGCCCUAAACAUUGAUAGCUAGCUACAUUUCUAUCCGCCUGGGAACUACGAGCAUAAGCUUAAAACCCAAAGGACUUGGCGGUGCUUUAGAUCCACCUAGAGGAGCCUGUUCUAGAACCGAUAACCCCCGUUAAACCUCACCUUUUCUUGUUUAACCCGCCUAUAUACCACCGUCGUCAGCUUAUCCUGUGAAGGACCAUUAAUAAACAAAAUUGGCACAGCCCAAAACGUCAGGUCGAGGUGUAGCGUACGAAAAGGGAAGAAAUGGGCUACAUUCUCUAUACUAGAGAACACGAAUGAUAUACUGAAAGACAUAUCUGAAGGAGGAUUUAGUAGUAAGAAGAAAAUAGAGUGUUCUUCUGAAACUGGCCCUGAAGCGCGCACACACCGCCCGUCACUCUCCCCAAGCUCCAUUAUAUUUUUAAAUAAAACCCUCAUACUGCAAAGGGGAGGCAAGUCGUAA
rnacentral:rRNA from 1 species